rnacentral:rRNA from 1 species
GAGGACCAUCUCCCAAGGCUAAAUACUCCCUAGUGACCGAUAGUGAACCAGUACCGUGAGGGAAAGGUGAAAAGUACCCCGGAAGGGGAGUGAAAGAGAUCCUGAAACCGUGUGCCUACAACUAGUCAGAGCCCGUUAACGGGUGAUGGCGUGCCUUUUGUAGAAUGAACCGGCGAGUUACGGUAUCGUGCAAGGUUAAGCUGAUGAAGCGGAGCCGCAGCGAAAGCGAGUCUGAAUAGGGCGCUUUAGUACGAUGCCGUAGACCCGAAACCUGGUGAUCUA